CCCGCACAAGCGGUGGAGCAUGUGGUUUAAUUCGAUGCAACGCGAAGAACCUUACCUAGACUUGACAUCCCGGGAAUCCUUAGGAAACUAAGGAGUGCCUUUCGGACAGAGGAGACAGGUGGUGCAUGGUUGUCGUCAGCUCGUGUCGUGAGAUGUUGGGUUAAGUCCCGCAACGAGCGCAACCCUUGUCUUUAGUUGCCAUCAUUCAGUUGGGCACUCUAGAGAGACUGCCGAGGACAACUCGGAGGAAGGUGGGGAUGACGUCAAAUCAUCAUGCCCCUUAUGUCCUGGGCUACACACGUGCUACAAUGGCUGGUACAAAGAGACGCAAGACCGCGAGGUGGAGCAAAUCUCAAAAACCAGUCCCAGUUCGGAUUGUAGGCUGCAACUCGCCUGCAUGAAGUCGGAGUUGCUAGUAAUCGCAGAUCAGAAUGCUGCGGUGAAUGCGUUCCCGGGUCUU
rnacentral:rRNA from 2 species